UGGGGAAUAUUGCGCAAUGGACGAAAGUCUGACGCAGCGACGCCGCGUGGGUGAAGAAGUCUUUCGGGAUGUAAAGCCCUUUCGGGUGGGAAGAUAAUGACGGUACCACCAGAAGAAGCCCCGGCUAAUUACGUGCCAGCAGCCGCGGUAAUACGUAAGGGGCGAGCGUUAUCCGGAUUUACUGGGCAUAAAGGGCGCGUAGGUGGUUUUUUAAGUCAGGUGUAAAAAGCAGCAGCUCAACUGCUGUUCGCACUUGAAACUGAAAAACUAGAGAUCAGGAGAGGAAAGCGGAACUCACAGUGUAGCGGUGAAAUGCGUAGAUAUUGUGAGGAACACCAGUUGCGAAAGCGGCUUUCUGGACUGAAUCUGACACUGAGGCGCGAAAGCGUGGGGAGCAAAC
rnacentral:rRNA from 1 species